rnacentral:rRNA from 1 species
CAAGAGCGUAUGUAAAAGUUGUUGCAGUUAAAAAGCUCGUAGUUGAACCUUGGGUUUGGUUGGCCGGUCCGCUUUUUUGCGAGUACUGGAUUCAACCGAGCCUUUCCUUCUGGCUAACCAGUCGUUUCGGCGGCUGGCGAACCAGGAUUUUUACUUUGAGAAAAUUAGAGUGUUCAAAGCAGGCAUUAGCUUGAAUAUAUUAGCAUGGAAUAAUAGAAUAGGACGUUAUGGUUCUAUUUUGUUGGUUUCUAGGACCAUCGUAAUGAUUAAUAGGGACGGUCGGGGGUAUCAGUAUUCAGUUGUCAGAGGUGAAAUUCUUGGAUUUACUGAAGACUAACUACUGCGAAAGCAUUUGCCAAGGACGUUUUCAUUAA